rfam:Daphnia pulex DAPPTscaffold_77_Cont3827, whole genome shotgun sequence.
UAGCUCAAUGGUAGAGCAGCGGCCUUUUAAGCCAAAGGUCUGUGGUUCGAUUCCUAG